CCUACGUGAGGCAGCAGUGAGGAAUAUUGGUCAAUGGACGAGAGUCUGAACCAGCCAAGUAGCGUGAAGGAUGACUGCCCUAUGGGUUGUACACUUCUUUUAUAUGGGAAUAAAACAGGGUAUGCAUACCCUCUUGUAUGUACCAUAUGAAUAAGGAUCGGCUAACUCCGUGCCAGCAGCCGCGGUAAUACGGAGGAUCCGAGCGUUAUCCGGAUUUAUUGGAUUUAAAGGGAGCGUAGGUGGAUUGUUAAGUCAGUUGUGAACGUUUGCGGCUCAACCGUAAAAUUGUGGUUGAAACUGGCAGUCUUGAGUACAGUAGAGGUGGGCGGAAUUCGUGGUGUAGCGGUGAAAUGCUUAGAUAUCACGAAGAACUCCGAGUGCGAAGGCGGCUUACUGGACUGUAACUGACGUUGAGGCUCGAAAGCGUGGGGAGCAAACAGGAUUAGAUACCCCAGUAGUC
rnacentral:rRNA from 1 species